CGAAAGACUUGUUAAUUAUUCCUUUACCGUCGUCUCGCUAGGUCUCUCUGCCCCUUUGAGAUCGAUCACGAAUAACAACUCGGAGGAGGAGCCUCUCUGAAACAAACCCAACACACAGAGAGAGGGAAGAGGCGUUCGAAACAACGAAUCUCUUCUUCCUAUAACUCUCUCUGAUUGGAUCCUUCCCUUUUGUUUCUCCUCUUCAAUCUCUCUAGUUUUUUUUUUUUUUUUGUAACUUUUUUGAUCCCACACGCAUAAAUGACGGGAAUUAAUCGGCCUCGCGAUCACGCCUCUAAUUCCAGCGACAGUUGCAGCAAUGUCUUUACUUUGCUUGCACGGAGAGAGAUUUCGCCUAGAACAAAACAUGUAGCAAAGUGGCGUUGGGGAAACGCUUCUAAAUCAAAAUCCAGUUCUCAUUCUCGUCCUAAAACUGUAGCAAGAGAUGCAAGGCGUAGCCUCCAGUCAUGGGUUGAAGCUGAUUCAUUGCGACAUUUGUCAGCCAAGUAUUGCCCUUUAGUCCCUGCCCCAAGGUCUACUAUUGCAGCUGCAUUUAGUCCAGAUGGAAAAGUUCUUGCGUCCACACAUGGUGACCACACAGUAAAGAUAAUCGACUGUGAAACUGGAAGAUGCUUAAAGGUGUUAGUUGGCCAUAUGAGGACGCCUUGGGUGGUUAGGUUCCAUCCGUUACAUCCACAAAUACUUGCUAGUGGGAGCUUGGAUCAAGAAGUUCGAUUAUGGGAUGCUAACACAUCCGAGUGCAUAGUAUCUCACCAUUUCUAUCGACCAAUUGCAUCCAUUGCUUUUCAUGCCAAAGGGGAAAUAAUUGCCGUUGCAUCAGGCCACAAGCUUUACAUAUGGCACUACAACAAGAAAGGCGAAGCAUCUUCACCAAUGUUUGUGUUAAAGACAAGGCGAUCUCUACGGGCUGUGCAUUUUCACCCUCAUGCUGCUCCAUAUCUUUUAACUGCUGAGGUCAAUGAUCUUGAUUCUUCAGAUUCAUCAAUGACAGAGGCAACAUCGAUCGGUUAUUUACAAUAUCCUCCACCUGCCGUUUUUGUCACAAAUGUUCAUCCUACGGAACAUGUUAGUGAACCACCUUAUGUGUCAUUGCCUUUCUUUCUCGUGCCUUCAUAUACUGUUGAUGAGUCAAGAGCAGAGUUACCACAUGCUAGUCAUGAUGUUGCCUCGGGUAGAAUGCAAAUUGAGUCGUCCGCCACAGUUCAGUUUCAAGCAGACACAAAUGCAACAGAACAAUAUGAUACUACAGUGUCUCCCAUGGAUACAGUCUCCGAGAUCCCCACUAACUCUCAAACAGGUACAGAAUAUCCUGCUCAUACUACUUUCUCUAAUGGAAUGGGAAUUGGCAUCCGCAACCUCACAAUGGAUGGUACAACUGAUGGUAUGGAGACUGAUGAAACCAGACCUGUUGAAGGAAGUCAACACGUAAACCCCACUGAUGCAAAUUCUCUCAAUGGUAUGUUACAUGGAGUACCUAGACAAACUGCAAAUCGCGGGGUUCUUUCAGAGUUUGGUCAGUUUCAUCAGUAUUUUUCUUCCAGAGAGCCAAGUGGAUGGGAGUUACCUUUUCUGCAAGGAUGGUUGAUGGGUCAAAGCCAAGUUGGUGCUCCCUCAAUGCUACCUCACAUGGGUGUUAGUCGUGAUACACAAGCUCAACAGAUUAGUUCUUCUGCAAUGGCUAAUAAUCUUUCCACUUCUAAUGUUGAUGUAGCAAUGCCACCUUCAGCAAUGUCUGGCAGUAUCAACAUACCUGGAUCUUCUAUAAGAUCAGGUUUACAGAAUCAUUUUUCACAAUCGCGUACACCUGUAUCUGAAUCCGGAAAUCUUGCUGCUUCUAUUACUACCCCACAUGAUGGAUCUGACAUCCAAACCAUCAUGAGUCGAAUCCAGUCAGAAAUCGCUACAUCUGUGGCUGCAGCUGCUGCUGCUGAACUGCCUUGUACCGUGAAGUUAAGAGUAUGGUCUCAUGACAUAAAAAAUCCCUCUACCCCACUAAAUGCUGACAGAUGUCGUCUUACCAUACCUCACGCUGUCCUCUGCAGUGAAAUGGGUGCCCAUUUUUCACCAUGCGGUAGAUUUUUAGCUGCAUGUGUUGCAUGUAUGCUUCCACGCAUAGAAGCUGAUCCAGGGUUACAAACGCCAGUACAUCAAGAGCCUGGUGUUGCAACAUCACCGACUCGGCAUCCAAUAUCAGCACACCAAGUUAUGUAUGAGCUGCGGAUAUAUUCCCUUGAGGAGGCAACAUUUGGAUCGGUGCUUGCUUCUCGGGCAAUUAGAGCAGCUCAUUGUCUGACUUCAAUUCAGUUCUCACCUACAUCUGAGCACAUACUCCUUGCCUAUGGUCGACGACACGGUUCUCUUCUUAAAAGCAUUGUCAUUGAUGGAGAAACAACAUUACCUAUAUAUACAGUGUUAGAGGUAUAUAGAGUUUCGGAUAUGGAACUUGUUAGGGUGCUUCCUAGUGCUGAAGACGAGGUCAAUGUGGCGUGCUUUCAUCCUUUCGCUGGGGGCGGGUUAGUUUACGGAACAAAGGAAGGAAAGCUUAGGAUCCUCCACUAUAAUGGUGCUCAUCCAGUGAAUGGAACUGGACCAAGUUACUUUCCUGAGGAGACCAUUGUUGGAGUCAGUCAAUGAGCAAGGUUCAAACAUGAUUGGAGAUGGAAUUCAACUGUUUGCUUCACAAUAUCUGUAUUACUCACGUGCUGUCUCUGCUGCUGAUCUAUACAAACUCAACAUCAUAUUCAGUGCUGAGAGCACAGACAACCAAGAACUAGAACUUUACAGUCACUGCAUUAGCAAAUGUAUAUUUUUGUAUUAUUAUCAAUGUAUUAGUAUGUGUUGAUAUUCUCCUUUGUAAAAAUGUUUGUAUUCCUCUUUACUCCUUACUUCUUCAUGCUCAUUAGCGAGCAUCUUCCUUUAUUAAUAUGUAACCUGUUCAGUAGUUACAAGAGGAAACACAUUUAUCCCCACAAAUCGCAUAUUUUAGGAGCAUCAAUUUACUUGUGAUACUUUUAGAUGAUGUUAUCACGUUAAUUUAGUAUUUGCAAUUUUAAGUAAAAGAGCACAUUGUAAA